GGAUAGCUCAGUUGGUAGAGCACAAGACUCUUAAUCUCAGGAUCGUGGGUUCGAGCCCACAUGAAGCA